CACCACAGUCAUAUCACUCAGCAUCCCAAGACCUAUUACUCACUGAAGCUAAGCAGGGCUGAGCCUGGUCAGUACCUGGAUGGGAGACCACAUGGGAAAACUAGGUUACCGUUGGAA
ensembl:rRNA 5S_rRNA 5S ribosomal RNA